rnacentral:ncRNA from 2 species
UCCGUUGUAGUCUAGCUGGUUAGG